CGAGCAAAACCAAGAUAAACUUAUGUAUGCAGACUCCCAAUCACAACAGGAUAUGUAUGAUUCGGGAAGAGGCGGUCGGUAUGGAUAUCGAGGAAGAGGUCGUGGUAGAUUUGGAUAUCAACAAAACGGAUAUUAUAGGCAAGAGAGAGACGCAUCAAAGGUUGAGUGUUACCGAUGUGAUAAGAUAGGUCACUUCGCUCAGAACUGCCCUACAACUUCCACAAAUAACCAAACUUAUAAGAAAAAACUAGAAUACAACGCAUAAUCUAAACCUACAACUUCCACAACCAAAAGAAAAAAGCCAAUUAUACUAUAGUAACACUAACUCAAUAAAAGUUUGGAGCCAGAAAAAGAUCAACAAAAAAAACUAACUUACCUCAUCUUACCAAUAAUAUCAUGGAUAGAACAAGCAGAUGUUAGAAAAGAUAAAAUGAUAUUCCUUCUGUUCCAAAAUAUUUGAUGUUUUGAGUGUAUGAACAAGAAUUAAGGUAUACACUUUUUUCUAAAAGAAACAUUAAAAAUAUAAACCAAAAUUAAUUCAUCCAAUCCUUAAAAAUAAAUAUAAAACAUCACUGGUCACACAGUUUUCAAUAAAAUUUAAAUUAAUACAAAAUAUCAAAACAUCAUCUAUUUUGAAACAUCAUAACUUUUCUAAAACAUCAUCUAUUUUGGAACAGAGGGAGUAAAAUAUAAGACAAAACAUUCCUCCGAGCUCAAAGGAGCGUGAUCAAGCACCAACCCAAAAAACCCAAAAAACCCAAAAAACCAAAAAGGUCAGAGAAAGAAUAAUCAUCAGGAGACCAGAGUCACCACGAAACAAGAAGACACAUGCCUCAAGCACCGUAAUCACAACCACCAGCUAAAAGGUAAGAAGCACCUCACAAACUAAACAAGCACAUACAAGACGUUCAUGCCAGCGAAGAACCACAAAGCUCUAAGUAGAAGAGACCAAAGCUCCAAAGACUAACUCCGCACACCUACACCAAGGAAAGUAAGAGAAGAAAAGAAACAACCUGAGGGAGGGAGAAUGGAAGCCUACCACCGAAAAACAAGAGCUCAAACUUUAGACUAGAAAUAAUCUUUCAAGCACACAAAGCAUACACAUAAGAAAACACUAUCCAAACCUGGAGUAGCAAAUAUGGCGAAAAAAAGAGCCACCAGAGAAGCGAGCAGCAAUGAAAGGUGCAACAAGAUGAGAGAACAAAGAUAGAAAAGGAGACGAAACAAAAUCAUCAAACCGUGGAGCCAUCCUCGAGCUAUGAAAAAGAGCAUAGAAGUCAGAUCACCAAAAACCAGAUCUUGAAAACCAAGACGAGCAGAGACUAUCGACGGCAAGUCAACGAGAGGAAGACAACAUCGAAGACAACAUCAAAGACAACUGAACUCUGACUCAACCCAACAAGAUGUAGUUCCUAAAAUUAGCCAAAAUCUAAAAAAGAAGAGGACCAAUAUUGACCAAAACAACCUACAACACAUUGAAAAACAACCGCAUAAUUGGGAAUUCGUAAGCAUGAUCUAUAACAAAUACCAGAUAAUAUCCCAAGAGAUGAAUGUGAGGAAAAACAAGAACACAAAGGUCAGUCUUUUCUCAGUGAUGGCGAGAAGCACCGCACACCGGAAAGGUAAGCGAAUUACAUAGAUGAGGACGGCUCAGGGUCAAAAUAUGGAGAGUGGGCAAAAAACAUUUUAAAAGAGUAAUGUUCAAAAUAUGACAAAUUAAAAUACAAUUCUGACGCUAAAACCAUCAAUCUUAAAAUUAACAAAUGCCUAAAUGCAAAGUUAUUAAAAUUAAAUAUAAUUUACAUUAAAAGCUCACUUCACCACACAAUUACUAUUAUACACACAACAACACAUUAUUGAAAAACAAACACAUAAUAUAUUAACAUAUUACCUAAUACUACAUAACACAAUAAAACAUCAAAUAAUUCUCUUUACAAAUAAGAAAGACCACUUAAUUACAUCAUCCAAAAAAUCAUAUCUAACCGUAAUAAAACAAUAUCCCGCGCUAAGCGCGGACACCCUUCUAGUAUCAAAUAUAAUUUUUUUAAAAAGUGUUUCUCUUUCGACAUUUUUGGCGACGAACACCGGCGACGCUACCGACGAACUGACGACAACAUCGGUGAACUAACGACGACACAGGCGACGAUAGCAGUGUUAAAAUCACCGUGAUUCUACGUCGACAACACUCUUAACAAUCUAAAUUGAAGCUUAUGCAUAUUUAUAGGCUUGGAGCUUCUAUUGUCGGCACUUCACUUCACCACACAUUCUGAUUUAUGGAUCAGAUUCUUGAAUCCAUAAACUCCUGCUACAGAUAUGCAAUGCUCAUGUGCUGAAGAAAUCUGAGGUGGUUCUGUCUACGACCCUGCCUAUUACACCUCUCUUUUUGAAGAGACUCAAACCAAUAUGAAUUCACCAAAGCUGAAGAGAAACACCAUUACCUGAGAAGUUGUUCUACUAAAGACAAAGCUCUGUUGCGUUUGUUGUCCAACGUUGGAAAGGUCCUUGGAAGUUGUUGAAGCUCAAAUCAAAGGCUGCUAAAUUUUGGGAACACAAGGUUUUGAGGUAAUGUACCUUUGAUUAUGUUCUUUUCUAGACAAUGUUGAUUCUGUUGAUUAUGUGUGGUAUUUUAUCCGCAAUCCCAAUGUUCUUGAGUGUGACUGAGAUGGUUUUUUUUUUUGUGAAAAUUUGUGGGGUUUUUUUUUUUAGUUUCAGGAAGGUGUUUCAAACUUUCAGGAUACCUUUCCAGAAAAUUCGAUACUAGAAAAUUUGAAUUUUUUUUGGCUUGGUUACGAAGGACAACAACGUGAUGGGAGAUUCAAUACAUGUCAUGCUAAGACUAUGUUUUUGAACUUUGAUGGGUUUCCAGAAUAGUAGAAUAUAAGUGUGUUUCUUUCUAGCAAAAUUUUAUAUUAUAACGUUAGAAAGAAUUUUAGAAUUUCUGGAUGAGUUUCCAGAAUAGUAGAAUAUAAGUGUGUUUCUUUCUAGCAAAAAAGUUUAACCUAAAAAAAAUGAAAUGAGAUUAAAAAAAAAACUAAUGAUUGAUAUCUGCAUAUUUGGGAAAUUUCAAAUUGUGAUUUAGAAUUUUGGAGAAAAAAAGAACAAAUAUACAUCUACUAGGUUUCGAACACGAGAUCUCUGGGAAAGGGGGAAUAAAGUGUGGCCACUAGGAAAAUGUGUUUCAAUUGUUUGUUGAUGUAAAGUAAAUGAAUAUAAUCCAAUGAGUGUUAUUCAAUUAAAAAAUAAAAAGCGAUCCAACUCCAAGGGGAAUCGAACACGGGAUGAGGCAAGUGUUUCAGUUUCGUAAGAGUGGGAGUUUAGCCGCUAGGCUGAGGAAAAUCAUCUGGUAGAAGCUAAAACAUAAAUGUAUUUAACCAUAAAUUUUAUAUUAUAAAAGUUGGAAAGAAGUUUGGAAUUUCUGGAUGGGUUUCAAGAAUAAUUGAAUAUUAGUGUUUUCCUUUUUAGCAAAGAAGUUUAAACUAAAAAAAUGAAUUCAGACCAAAAACUAAGGAUUGAUAUCUGCAUAUUUGAGAAAUUUCAAAUUGUGAAUUGGAAUUUUUGAGAAAAAAUGCAUUUAAACCUAAAUUGUAUAUUAUAUAAGUUGGAAAGCAUCCAACUUGCACCAAAUGUCAAGUUCGAAGUUCAGCUUGCACCCAGUCACUUAGUUUCUUUACCAAAAAAAAUAAGCAUCCAACUUAUUCAGGAUAGGCUUCCAAAAGAAAAUAUAUAUGUGGUCUGGUGAAUAUCACAUAACCAUUAAAUAAACAACAUCCAGAAAUGAUCAAUAAAAAUGUAAAUCAUCAACAAACCAUUGAAAUGAAAAAGAAUAGAACAAUAGGAAACUUCACCAUAUAGCAGGAUAAGAAAAUGUAUCAAUAGUUUGCUUGUUACAGCUCGCUGAAUCAGUAAUAAACUGCGUGAUUCAAUUUGUUUGGAAGGUUUAGUACAUGGUCAGGAAGCCUAUCCUGAAUAGUCUAAGAAAGAAGAAAAUCAUACCAAAAACUGGAUUAUCAUUCAAAGGAGCAUGAGAAGUAAAUGUAUCAGUAGUUUGCUUGUUACAGCUAGCUGAAUUAGUUCAGUAAUAACCUGCAGGAUUCAAUUUUUUUUGAAGGUUUAGUACAUGAUCAGAAAGUUUAUCGUGAAUAGUCUAAAAAAAAGAAAAUCAUACAAACACAAACAAAAAAAAGAAAUUAGAAACGAUGUACUUGUUUCUCUCUCUGCACAGUAGAACCAAAAACUGGAAUAUCAUUCAAAGGAGUAGGAGAAGCAAAUAUAUCAGUAGUGUGCUUGUUACAACUAGCUGAAUGAGUAAUAAUCUGCAUGAUUCAAUUUGUUUGGAAGGUUUAUUACAUGAUCAUGAAGCCUAUCCUGAAUAGUCUAAAAAGGAAAAAAAUCAUACCAAAAAUCAUAACCUGCUCGGACUUGUGCAUUCUUUCAUCAACUGGUCCCAACUCAAUUAUGUAUCAUGGCAGCUCGUCCAACGAUGGGUGUCGAUCGAUAUUAGGUGGGUGUGGUAGAUCGAUGCAAUCAGAUAAGUGUUGAUCAAUGCAAUCAGAUAAGUGUCGAUCGAUGCUGUUGGGUGGGUGGUGAUCAAUGUUAGUUUUCGGUGAAGUCUCCAGAUCAAUUCUCAUAGUGUACUGAUUGUCAUCAAGCUUAUGCUCUGAGUCAAGCCCUUCUUCCAGCUCCAAAAAGUCUUCCAUAGUGACUUCCCUAUCAGUAUCCCAAUAUUCAAGUUUUUCUCCAUCCUCUAGUUCCAAAAAUUCUUUUAGCUCCAAGAAAUAUUCUAUGGUGAUCUCUUUGUCUACAUCUGAGGUAAGAUAACAUCUUGAUUCAUCGGUGCUCUACAAUAUCGAGUCUGCAAUGUCCUGAGGACAACUCAAAAUUUCAAGGAUUUUAAGUGAUGUCGAUCGACAACAUGAGUGUAUGUCGAUCGAUGCUGAAGUAGUGUUGAUCGAUGCUGAAGUCGUAGCCUCAUCUACUUGUGGAACCUGAAUGUCUGGUUUCUUGAUGUGAGUGCUCAUGGUUUCAAAUUCUUCUUUCUGCUCAUUGUAGACAACACCCAACAUCUGACUGAAACUAGACAUCAAUUCCUUCUCCCAUCUUUAAUCAUCUUGUCCAACAUAUCAUCAAGCUUCCUCUGUCGAGUUGUUGUAGCUUCUCUGAAAAUUUUGAUCAGUAAGGAAAUUUUAAUGUCCUCUCAGCAGGUUAGAGAUCCUGGCUACAGUUGACUGAACCAGCUAAAUGCACCUCCAAAGAGAGAGUGAGGGAAAAUCUUACAGAGAAUGUGGUCUACAGAUACUUCAUGCUGCUCGCUCACUGAGGCUAACUCCUCAAGCUCCUUGAUGUGGUUUCUGAGAUCUUCGCAAGAAAGACUCUGGAAGGGGUCUUGACCUACUCAAUCAUACCAUUUGCGGCUCAGAUCAAAGUCAUUCAUCUCAGCAACAACAAUCACAUCAGGGAUUACAGCUCCUUAUGCAUUAAUCAUUUAUCCUGUGUUUUUGCGAGUGCGAUCUUCUUCGUCUCGUAAGAUCCCAUUCUCAUCAAAAAUCAUUAUGAGCACUUCGACAUUCUCUGUCUCCCGCAAGUGAUAUCGAUCGACACUUGAUGAAUAGUGUUGUUCGUCACCGGGGAAAUAGUGUCAGGAUGAACAGUGUCAGUAUAAACAGUGUCAUUCGACAUGGGAUGAAUAGUAUCGUUUGACAUGGGAUGAACAGUGUCAUUCGGUGCUUGGUUUCACGCUAUCAAUCGCUGCUGCUUGGAGGGUGUCGAUCGAUAUUUUCCUAGUAUACUUAUGGAUCGUGGGUGAAUCAGAAGGCUCCUUCUUUGAAGAACCUAAAAAAUCCUCUAUUCAUAGUUGUUCCUCGUACUAAGAUGUAUGUGCCUAAAACAUACUUUUUAUUUUAAUAAACUAAUAUAGAAAAACCUAGCCAAAAUCAAACUGAUUGAGUCUAAUGGUUCAGUUGUAGUACUUAGGGAUCGAAUCCACAUGGAGCGUAGGCAUACAAUAGUCUCAAGCAAGUCGCGAUUAAGCUAAGCUAACAUAUUAUAAAGCAAUAGAUAUAGUAAAGCAAGUUGAACAAGGUAGUUGUUCAGUCGAUUGAUGAGUUGUUUGAUAGAAGGAGGGUUGCCAGACUUAGGGUUUUAUUCAGGUUAUCAGAACUCAAUAUAUAGUUGCUAAGGUUGAUCAUAGAACUCGAUAUCCAAUGUAAAAGACAACCGGCUGUCGCCGCGAGUCUAAUAUAUUGACUAAGUCCAGUGUCUCAGCUGUCGUUUGUUAACACGGACCGAGCGUCGAUUGAUGUUAUUGAGUUAGUGUCGUUCGAUGCUUCCUUAGGCAAGCUUUAUCGAACUAAUCUAUUGGUUCACUAGUUUUACCAGAUCAGCUCAACAAAAUUAAUUCAGGCAUUAAACCAUGUUGUCGCGUGCGCCUAACUAUCUUAUGAUCAGGGUUCUAGGUAGCUACUCUAGGACACAAGCUGUAAGAACAAUUCAAUGAAGGAUUCAGUUAUCACCCUAGUAAUUGUAUGUCUUACAUGAACAUCAAAACUCUAAAAAUCCUAGAUCUAGCAGGUCGAUCUAUUCAAACAUGUAGUUUGUCACAAAAAUCAUAGAAGAAUAAAUAUGUAAUAAAACCAAGAAGAUACUAAAGGAGUUCCAAGAUGACUCUGAAGUAGUUCCUAUCUUCUUUCCUAACAUAAACUAAGAACAAAAGAUCUAAAGAAAGCGUUGAAAGCGUAGCCAUCAACAAUGGCUUAGAAAACAUAUAAAUAGGGUUUAACUCGUGCAGGGGUAUACUAGUAAUAAUUGGUGACAUCUGGGCAUAAGUCGGUCAUCGUUGAUUGAAACCAAGGGUCUGUCAUUGUUCAACAUUCCUUCAUCUUCUCGACAACUUCCUCUCGCGAGGCAGACGUACCACUCUUCAGUAAAUCAGGAAUAACUUCUGUUAUAGGUUGAUGAUUGACCGAAAACCAGCGACAUUGGAAAGCUAACUCAAAGCUAUAUCUUAUGUCGAAAGAUGGGCUCAAUCGAACUGUGGGAAGA